AGUGAACGCUGGCGGUAGGCCUAACACAUGCAAGUCGAACGGCAGCACAGUAAGAGCUUGCUCUUACGGGUGGCGAGUGGCGGACGGGUGAGGAAUACAUCGGAAUCUACUUUUUCGUGGGGGAUAACGUAGGGAAACUUACGCUAAUACCGCAUACGACCUACGGGUGAAAGCAGGGGAUCUUCGGACCUUGCGCGAUUGAAUGAGCCGAUGUCGGAUUAGCUAGUUGGCGGGGUAAAGGCCCACCAAGGCGACGAUCCGUAGCUGGUCUGAGAGGAUGAUCAGCCACACUGGAACUGAGACACGGUCCAGACUCCUACGGGAGGCAGCAGUGGGGAAUAUUGGACAAUGGGCGCAAGCCUGAUCCAGCCAUACCGCGUGGGUGAAGAAGGCCUUCGGGUUGUAAAGCCCCUUUGUUGGGAAAGAAAAGCAGCAGGUUAAUACCCCGCUGUUCUGACGGUACCCAAAGAAUAAGCACCGACUAACUUCGUG
rnacentral:rRNA from 1 species